rnacentral:rRNA from 1 species
CACGUAGGCGGACUCUUAAGUCGGUGGUGAAAUCCUGGAGCUCAACUCCAGAACUGCCUUCGAUACUGAGAGUCUCGAGUCCGAGAGAGGUGAGUGGAACUGCGAGUGUAGAGGUGAAAUUCGUAGAUAUUCGCAAGAACACCAGUGGCGAAGGCGGCUCACUGGCUCGGUACUGACGCUGAGGUGCGAAAGCGUGGGAGCAAACA